UUCCGGCGUCACAGACGGUCUUUAGGAGCGACUCGUGGGCGUUAAGACUGGGCUCAGUUUGUGGCGCGCCUAGUGAUGGGAUGGCGCUGUGCAGGACGCCGACACAAAAAGAUGAAGCGUUCAACCCGUGCUGUCUGAACUCACAGUGUAGUGGGCGAGAUAGACGGGAGAAUCGGUAGGGUGGGAGAUGCCGGAAAGGCUUUCCGUGAGACUGGAUAAGAAAUCAAAAAUCUGGUGAAAUUGGCGGCAGGAGGGAGUUAAGGACAUUCCAGGCAGAGGCAAGGGAACUGCCUUCAGCUCCCUGCAACAGAAGAACCCAAAAGGGUGGACCUGAAGGAGGAGGGCUGCAGGCAUUCGCCUCAGCGGAGAGGCUGCUCUGUGGAGGGGACGCAUGGUGGCUGAGCACUGUUCCAGCCGACCACCCUGUGCUUCUGCAUUGAGGAUGAGGAUGCCGAGGUCAUGGGAUUUAUCCAACAGACUUGGUGAAUUCAGUAGUCUGGGCUACAGUGAUCGUCUAAUCAGUAAUAGAAAUCAGUAAUAGUAAUAGAAUAAGAGGAGAAUUCCUCAUAUUCCUAAAGAUAUACUGAACCCUCCUCCCGACCCCCACCCAAUAAAGCUCAGCCACAAACACAUCAGCUCCUAAUGUCUUACUGGUGAAUACACACCGUUCAAUUUUAUUGUUUCUGUACCAACUCAUCCGCUUGACAAGCUGAGAGUUCUGUCAUGCAAUUCAUUCCUCCACAGGGAGGGAUCUUAGCACAGCAGCAAGGGAAGCCUUGUCCCUGGGAAGCUAUAGACCUCAUUGUUUCAGAAAGCAUUCCAGAUGGUUCUGCUGGAGUUGGCUUCCCUUUAUGAGAGCCCUUCCUGAGAAGGCAGAAAGUUGGCCCCAUAGAGAAGAAAAGGACCCCCAAGACUGUGCAAGUCAGUCAUAUCCAGAGCAUCCCUCUCACCCUGGAACCAGCAGCCAAUAGUUUUACCUCAUAGGACUCCUCGUCACCAGCCACCAUGCCCACAGUCUUUAUGAAGGGGUGGCCAGGGUUGUCCACUCCAGUCUGGAUGCACUGGUCCAGGGUGUAGCCAUUGGGCGUCACCUUGUUGCGAAGCUUGGCAUAGAUGGCGGGGGUGAGGCACUCGGCCAUGCAGUUGUUGUGCUUGCGCAGGUCUGGGUAGUCUGCACUGUGUGGGGAGGAGGGCAGGCUGUCAGCCAGCAGCCCCUGAGGAAAGGGUCCAAUGGAAGGACUUAUUGUUUGCCCAUCCUUCCACUAGGCUCCCUUCAGCCAGUGGGCACGGGGAUACUUGGCUAGAACUGCCGAGGAGUCAUAAAUGAAUACACCAGGUUUCAAAAAAUAAGCAAGCUCCACGAGAGCGGGGACUUUGCCUUUUUGAAAAACAGUCCCUGGCUAUUGAAACCAGUGUUCAGUAAACAUCUGUUGGAAUAAUAGAAAUCAAAUUGGGUGCUGUCUCACCCUGGGGUGUGUACUGAUUGAGGAAUAGGAGAUAUAGGACAACCACAACCUCAAACACAAGUCAUGUCACCUCAGGAAUUCCCAAGGUACGUGGGGGUUGCUGGCAAUUCCCUCAGAGAUCCUGAUUUCCAUAAGAGACAGUAAAUGUCUCAGAGACACCUCAGUGGUUUUCCUCAUCUCUCUCAUCCAUACCUGCCUAUGUGGAAUUCUGCAUGCCACUCAAACUCUGCUCAGCGCAUGGUAUCUCAUCCAUGGCAGGGUUCCAAGGGCUGAGAAAACACGUUAUUUUCAUCCCUCUCACGCCACUCCUCCACUUUCCAUCUGCAGUGUCCUUUAGAGCUGAUACUUAAAGUCAGUACUACGAUAUCCCUUUUUCCAGAAGGUGGUAGAGCAGUGAGAGGGGCAUGGGUCUGGAAUCAGGGGGCCUGGAUUUGCAUUUGGCUGUACUAGCUAUGUGAACUUGGGCACUGUUUAAUUUUUCUAGGCCUUCAUUUCAUCACAGAAGGAUCCUAAGAUGAAUAACAGAUACUCCAUGUAAAGUGCUGGUCAUACAUAAAAGUGCUCCACAAAUGUUAACUAUCCCCAUUAUUACUAUUCAACUGGACUGCAAGCUCUAAGCAAGAAUGAUGAUGCUAUACUUCUUUGUAUACACCACAGGUCACUGGCUUAAUGAGUCUCAAAAUGAUUUUCGGUUUUACUUAGUCAUCCUCAAAGGCAAAAAGAAGGACCCUUGCUAACAGUUUCCAGCAGGGGAAAGCAUAUUUCUUGCUGGUCUUUGAAGCUUUUUUGUUUUUGUUUUUGUUUUGUUUUGUUUUGAGACGGAGUCUUGCUCUGUUGCCAGGCUGGAGUGCAGCGGUGCGAUCUCGGCUUACUACAACCUCCACUUCCCGGGUUCAAGCGACUCUCCUGCCUCAGCCUCCCAAGUAGCUGGGACUACAGGCAUGCGCCACUAUACCCAGCUAAUUUUUUUGUAUUUUUAGUAGAGAUGGGGUUUCACCAUGUUGGCCAGGAUGGUCUCGAUCUCUUGACCUCAUGAUCUGGCCUUCCAAAGUUCAGGGAUUACAUGCAUGAGCCACCGAGCCCGGCCUGAGGUUAUUUUAAAGUCAGGAACUCUUACCUUGGAGGAAAUAGCCUAGGCUGCUCCCUGACCUCGGCACACACUUUCUGCUGGUUCAGCAGGUACCCGGUGGUCAGGACACUGGUGCCCAUGGUAGCAAACAGCAGAGAAGCAUUGCGGCCAGUUAGCAACUUAGAAAAGAUACUGGCCAUCCUUCCUCUUGGAUGAGUGUCUGGAAAGCAAAGAAGCUGGAUUAGAUAGUUUCAUAGGAUGACCCUGAGCCACAACAUAGGGGUCAACGGGCAAGAGAACUGCAGGAGCCAUAGCCUCUCUUUCCGGUGUCUCUGUCUCUGUCUCUCUGUCUCUUUCUCUGUGUGUGUGUGUGUAUGUGUGUGUGUGUGUGUUUUCCAUUUCUUGCUUUGCUUUUUUCUUCAUAUUGCUUGGGAAAAUCUGGGUAGUUUUAGACAUAAUGUCUAAACUUCCUGAACUCCAUGCCUUUUCUCUGUUAAUAUGAUAAAAAAUAAACAGCAGCAGAGGAUGUCUUCUUCCAGCUAUUUGACAGACCAUGUGCUCUUUUGAACUUUGCCACUGCAUCACAACUAGACCCUGAACAGGAUGGAUUUCUGGACUUCUGAAAGUUGGUCCUUGCUGGCUGAUCCAGCUUCCCCGUCAGCAUAUGGUGAGCAGUUCGGUGAGAGGACCACACUUCCAAUACUGGCAGAUGAAGCCAGAUACUCCUCUAUGAAGUUAAAUGACUGGUUCAGUGUUACACUGCUAGUGAGCGACAGAGAUGGAAUUUGAAUGCACACCUGUCUGACUCCACCUCACGUGUUCUUUCCACAUGGCCAGCAAGCUCUGCUGUCCCACCUCGCACUUCUGGGAGGUGGCUACUCCCUCUUUCCACCCCUUUUUCUGGAUCUUGACAAGGGAUUCUGCCCUGCCCCAGCUGUCAAAGCCUGCAGCAGCUGCCAAAAAACCUCAACACAGGCAUACUUUGGACCUACAUCAUGUGUUGGUGUCACAGAUGCUGUACCAGGCAUUUGACUCCUUGAUCUAAAGCCAGGAUUCCUGGCCAACAUGGCGAAACCCUGUCUCUACUAAAAAUAACAAAAAUUAGCUGGGCAUGGUGGUAGGUGCCUGUAAUCCCAGCUACUUGGGAGGCUGAGGCAGGAGAAUUACUUGAACCCAGGAAGCGAAGGCUGCAGUGAGCAGAGAUUGUGCCUCUGCACUACAGCCUGGGCUAUGGAGUAAGACUCUGUCUCAAAAAAAAAAAAAAAUAGUGAGGGGGAUACAUGCCCACACAAAGGAAUCCUGACAGAGGAACAAUGGCUUGGUCCGUUUCCCCUCCUGUGUAGCACUGUGAUAAAGGAAAGCCUUUCAGGUAUGUGCCUUGAUGGAGCCGGUGGGUGGAAGAGGAAGGGCAGUGAGAGGUUUGAGGACAAGCCGCUGAUACCCUCAUGUAUCAUCACAGUGGUGCCCUUUGGGAGCCUGCUUUGGUAUACUCGUCCACUCAGGGAAGAGGAAGUCUCUUAUCCACAAUUUUGUCUUUAAGAUUGAAAUUUCUUUGAGCAGAGCCUAAAAGAGAGUUGCCUCAUUUCGUGUAACUGUAGCGUAUGUAGUUUAGAGGCUCCAAUGUGUUUUUGAGGCAAUCCGAGAGCUCUUUCUGGAAAUCCCGGGCAGAUGACAUCUGCGUCUGAUUUUACUUUGUCUUACAACCAGGCUAAGACCUCCAGCAUCAUCAGACUGUCGAACUGCUCAGGUCAAGGCAGACAGGUAGAAAGGCCCACAUAGAUAGUGGUUACUCAUCCCAAGAACACAGAGGCCCACACCAGGAAGGGGCAGGUGAUGUUAAUGAUGAGGCAGGCAAUUAUAUCUUGCGAUUUCUAUGAGCCAUGAUGCAUUACACUAAGGAACUUUACCUCACUUGGCUUGUGACUUUUGUUAGUGAGAAAUGGCCUGCUGGCCUAUGCUGUGGAGGACUUGCAGAAAACUUCCCAGCCACCGGCAGAAGGUUGACGUCUCCCCUGGUUCCUCCCCAACCCGUUUAGUGUGAAACGGGACAAAGGGAAACAUUUCCUUUGAUCUAUUUUUGGGGAAAGAGGCAAAUAUCAACUAAAUAAGAUUGUAUUAGGGACUGGGUGUGGUGGCUUAUGCCUGUAAUCCCAGCACUUUGGGAGGCCAAGGUGGGCGGAUCAUCUGAGGUCAGGAGUUAGAGACCAGCCUGGCCAACAUGGCAAAACCCCAUCUCUACUAAAAAUACAAAAAAUAUUAGCCAGGUGUGGUAGCACAUGCCUGUAAUCCCAGCCACUUGGGAGGCUGAGGCACGAGAAUCGCUUGAACCCAGGAGGCGGAGGUUGCAGUGAGGCGAGAUCACACCACUGCACUCCAGCAUCCUGGGUGAUAGAGACUUGUCUCAAAAAAAAAAAAAAAAAAAAAAAAUCCUAUUAAGAAUUUCAUGAAGGCUCACACAGUUCUUGCACACAUCAUUCAAGGCCUGUUAUGGGGGCCCAGAACAUCAGGACACAGUAGCUAGCCUCACAUUCAGCUCCAUUGCACCAGAGCUUCGCAUUAUCUCAAUUUGAAAAACACACAUGUAUAUCCUACAUUUGUAUCUCUAUUCUAUACUGUAUAUGACUUUUAAAAAUACUGGUUUGCUGUUUCUAUUUUGUGCUAAUGCAACAAAUCUAAUUUGUUUUAGAAACAGUUAUUACUGUUUCUUGCUUCUUAUCACCCCCUACCGUUUGGACUUUGUUGUCCAUCUUUCUCUGCCUAAUUGGACCACAGCCUGGUGCCUCAAUCCACACAAAGUCUGUUCCCUUCUAGCUCAAGAUGGCUGCAUUCUCUCUCAGUUCACAGUGCACUCACGGGCUGCUCAUUCAUCUGCCCUUGUGCUCUGUGCCUUUUUGGCAUCUGCGGGUAAAGUCAGUGCCACAUAUCUCUAUCCUGUUAACUCCUAAAGUUUGUAUUGUCUUCCCAAGGGACCUCUCUUAUGGCCCUGCUGGGCUUCUCCCCUUACCCACACGUGCCAAGCAUAGAAAUCAAGGCAACAUUCUCAACCAGGUACCUAGCUAGUCCUACAACCAGCAAUUAGGGAAGUUUACGAAUAACCUGCUAAAUAAGAAGAUAAUAACUUAAAAGCCACCCAAGUAAGUCAGAGUCACAAAAUGUUUUAUUCCCUGUAGAAACUAAAGAUAGCAUCUUGACGUAUGCCCUUGCAUUGCUUUUCAGAAACCAAUUCCCACACCAGAUAGAAAAUGCUGACCACUGUCAUAGAACUCAGACAGACUGAAACUAAAAAAUAGAUAAGGAAGUUCCAGAAAUUCCCGAGCUCUUAACUCAUUUUGGAUACCCCCUCACUCCUGCUUUAAAAACCCUUGCUUAUAAGCUAGCAGGGAGCUCAGGUGUUGAGUGCUAGGUACCCAUUCUUCUUGCUUGGCACCCAGCAAUAAACGCCUUUUUCUCACUACAAAUCCCAGCGUCAAUGUUUGGCUUUUCUGGCAUGCUGGGCAACCAGAACCAAGCCCAUCUUGUGUGCCUGUAUCCAAUUCUGAUGAGCCUAUGUAUGUCAAGUUGGUCGAGGCCCUUUGUGCUGAACACCAAAUCAACCUAAUUAAGGUUGAUGACAAGAACCUAGGGGAAUGAGUAGGUGGCCUCUGUAAAAUUGACAGCGAGGGGAAACCCUGUAAAGUGGUUGGUUGCAGUUGUGUAGUAGUUAAGGACUAUGGCAAGGAGUCUCAGCCCAAGGAUGUCAUCAAAGAGUACUUCAAAUGCAAGAAAUGAACAAAUCUUUGGCUCAGAAAAAAAAACAAACAAAAAGCCCACAAACUUUUGAAUGAGAUCUACUUAUAUGAUGUGACACACAUUUCUUUCAGACAUGGAUUUUGAAAUCCUAUCGAUAAAAGCCACCAAGUGAGACUGACAGUUCUGGUUUUGAGCAUGUACCUGCUCCGUUUCCUGGUAUCUGCAAAUUAGGGUGGCCCAGUGCAGGCUCCUGACCUUUUGACCAUGACAGGCUGUCUGAACCCUGGGAGCUCUUGUGCCCAUCCUCAGAGAUGUCCGUGUGUGACACAGCAGAGACUACCCCACAGAUAACAGACGAAAGCCAGCAGAGUACAAGGCAUAAAUGUGCAUGUCCUUCUAUUUCUUUUUUUUUUUUUUUUUUUUUUAGAGGUUCUGACUGAGCAGGCAGAUUGAGAAGGAAGAAUCACAUGAGGAGCAAGUGCUAGGUGUUGGGGAAACGAUUUAAAUUUCCUCCCACCCCAGAAAUUCCUCUCCAUAAAAUAUAGGAGAAAGAAAAUAUUUUAUUAUUGAAUAAACAUUAAAGUAGUGAUGCACGUCUUUAGCAUUCUGCUGAGGAGAUUGCAAAGACAGACAUCCCACCCUUUUAUGCAGGCAAGCAAAUAGGACCCAUUCAUUACAUACAUGUUCUCGAACUAAAGAGGACUUGACAGCACCAUUUGUCAAGCAUAAUUCAUCCUAAAUUCACCUGGUGACCAUUUGUGUUCGCUAAUUGCCUUUAUCAAAAGGAAAAAUAAAAGUCAAGUUUCUAGGACAGCAGGUAGUUUUACAACUUGGAGCCAGGUGCUUAAAUGAAACUACUACCCACUGCCCUCCCACUGACAGUGGGAGGUAGGGAGCUAUCUUCCUUGUUGUCUACAUUUUCAAAGAGAUGUUUUCUAGGCCCUUGCAGGAAAAGAGUCCUAGGUUGUAAAAUCGACUGGAGCCUUACUUAGCUUUUAAAAAGAUUUAUAUACAUUUCAAAGGGGCAGCAAAAUAAUUUAUAAGUUUUCUAAAGGAAAUGCUCUAAGAAAAAGGAGGAAGCUCUCCCCUUUUUGCAUGGGCUUAUGGGAUAACAUUCUGGAAUUCACGAGAAGCAGGAAUUGGUUUCCUCCCUCCACAUGCUGGAAGGCACAGUGCAAGAAGCUUGGCAAGGCUCCAGUCAGGGGUGGACAAUCACUGGGAAUUCCAUGCAUCAAAGGGACAAGGGACAAUCACUGGGUCCAUCCUACACUUCAGAGGGACAAGACCCAAUGAAUGUAGAACUGGGCCACAGUUUGUCUUGGUUCUAAAGCACGCUGGCCCACACAUGAUAGGUUAUCAUUAAAUGUCUGAUGAGUGAGUGAAUGAAUGUCAGGAACCUGAGAGGCUUUAGAGGUCAUUUACCUCAGCUGAAAUUCAGGCAUCCCUUUCCCUCAGCCUCCUUAAAUACCAGCAGUCCUGGGGAUCCCACCACUUGCCAAAGCAACCCAUUUUACUGUUGGAUAACUGUAAUUACUAUAACAUUUUUUAUAUCUGAAUAAGGAGAGAAAACAAAAUCCGAGUGCUUUCAAGGGUGGGGUACUUUUUUCAAAACGAUCCCAAGAAGCAGGUAUCCCAUGUCACAGAGGAGGGAACUCAAAAACAGAGACAUUAACUAACAGCCCAAGUUCACACAGCUAAAGGGAAAUCAUAUGUAUCAAGUGUCUGUUCUGCACCAGGCACUCAUUUAAAUAAAGAUCCUUUCACUCACAAUAGUUUACCAUACAAAUAUUACAGCAUGUCUAGAUGGGGUCUUAACCAUACCAAAGUAUUAUAUUGCAUGCCUCCGUCUGCCCUGGGACUAGGACCAGGUCACACAUUGCAAAGGAUUUGAGUGGAAACAAUGAAUAGACCCCUGCACACUCACGUGUAUCAAUGGAGGACUACGGAUGCCGUGUGCCCCCAUUCCUCUGGGCCAUUGUCACUAACCCUUUGUCUCCCAAGGAAUGGAGCUGCCAGAGUUCCAGCUGCCUCAGAUACUCCCUGGUCUCUCAGGUAUGCUGAGUGUUUUCCCUCAAGCACAGUUUCCAUAGGCAGAUGCCGAGGGGAGGCUAAGUAUGGGGCCAAAAUGCCCCAGCACACAGGUGUCAUUCCGGGCAGCACUGAGGGGAAGCAGAACCAGGGGAUGACUCUUGGGACCUUCCUUCUCAGGAACACCACUCACUAUAGGCUUCCAGGUGGUCAGCGGGUCAUGUGAGUCAAGGGCAAGUGAGUGAAUGACACUGAUAUGUUUCAGGUAGGGAGAAGCCAUGGUGGGCAGCAUUGGAGGGAGGGGAAAGAGGGGGCGAGGAGGGGGUAGAGAUAUGUAUUUUUCUACUUAUUCAUCUGAGGACUAUUUACCUACUAUAUGGCAGCUUUUCCAGAGUCCUUAGUCUGAGGAAAAAACCCUAUGUGCUCAUGUUAUUCCCAUUUUACAAGUGAGCAGAUACAGGGAGACAAAGGCAAAAUAACUCGCCCAGGACCACAUGGUUUGUGAGUGGCAGCCCUGAGAUUCUGGCCAGCAGUCAUAGUCCACACUCUUAACCAGGGCCGUCUGCUGGGCAACUAGAAGUUGUGUGUGAUUUGUGCUCUACUUGGGGAGCCAGAGCCUGUUGGGGGGUCCUGGGAGGGCAUGGUCAGCUAUGGGACGGACCAUUCAACAAUGUUGUUUGAGGAGCCUUGUCAGGUCUUAACCAUACCAAAGUAUUGUAUUGCAUGCCUCCACCUGCCCUGGGACUAGGACAGGUCACACACUGCAAAGGAUUCGAGUGGAAACAAUGAAUAGACCUCUGCACACCCAUGUGCAUCAGUGGAGGACGAUGGAUGCCGCGUGCCCCCACUCCUCCCUCCCCAAAGCUGCUUUCCAGGCAUCUUCCAGCUGGGGAAAUGGCCAUUCCCCUCAGCCCAGAGCAGACUUAGCCUGUCCUUGAAUGCUGCCAAAAAAAAAAAAAAAGGGCUAAAUGUGUCCCCUGUUCUAUUCCUA